AGACUUUUGUCAUUAACUUUAAGGAUGGAAAAAUUACUUGUUCUCGUCCAGUUAACAAAUAUAGAAAUGAGGGACAUUUCUUUUGUAGUUAACAAAUCUUAAUAAAGAAGCAUCACUCACCCCAUCUUAGAAUUCCGCUCCUGCGGCCCUCUCCCUUCCUCUCUCACUCACUCUCGUAUAAAAACAGAUCAGGUUUUUCUCUGAUUUGCAGUCGGACUGUAAUUUUGGAUUCAAUACAGCCCAUAUUUGCUAGCGCGCAGAACCUAGAAACAGCUAUUGGAAAACUCCAAUCAUGGACUAACAACCGUUGUUUGAUGAAGGACCGGGGGAUUAACUGCUUUAAGACAAUCAGACUGUUGGAUUGGAAAAAAUAUUGAGGACUUCUGAUUCGAAGAUAAACCCCAGGAUACUCCUCUGAAGUUCCCAAGCAAAUCAAAAGGCAGAAAAUAUAAUGGGAAACACAAUGCAAAAACCCCAAGGAACAGAAGUAGAAGGAACAGAACAGUUGCAACAAGAAGAAGAUUCAAACUUUACUUGUGAAAUUUGCUCCGAUCCUAUGCUAUCAACCAGAAAUUUCAAGAAUGGUAUCGUGUGUAAACAUCCAUUCUGCUUGGAUUGCAUAACCAAAUAUAUUGAAAUAACAGUUGAGGAAACCUCUGGCUGCAUUGAAUGCCCUGGACUGAACUGCAAGCAACUGUUAGACCCUCUCUCAUGCAGGCCUAUCAUCUCAAAACCAAUAUUUGAGAAAUGGUGUGAUCGUCUAUGUGAUUCAAUGGUUUUAGGGUCUGAAAGUUGCUAUUGCCCGUACCGAGAUUGCUCAGUGUUGGUUUUGAAUGAGUGUAAGGAUAAGCUGAAAAAAAUAAAUUGUCCUAACUGCAAGAAAAAUUUCUGUUUCCUAUGCAAGAUUCCUUGGCAUACAGGAUAUCGGUGCAGUGAGAGCAGACAUCUAAGAGAUAGGAAUGACAUUCUGGCUGGUGAGUUGAUUGAAGAGAAAAAGUGGACGAGAUGUUAUAAUUGUAGUCACUCUGUUGAGCGAGUUAGUGGUUGCAGAGAUAUAAAAUGCAGAUGCGGGUUUCGGUUUUGCCAUCAAUGUGGAGGACCAUUCCAUUCUGGCCUUUGUAAGCACAAGCGCUGUGGAUAUGUUCUUUGCAAUCUUUUCAUUUUUCGAUGUUAUUAGCUUUCUGCUAUUUUGUUUUUUUUUUGAAAUACAUUCCCUCCCAUUAAGAAAAGGUAGACUCACAGUUGCACAGGCCAUGCCCAAAAAAAAAAAGGUUGUAAAUGACGUUUAAGAAAAUAGGUUGUAAGAAAAAGGUUGUAAAUGAUGUUCUUCUCGAACAAAAUAUAAUAAUAAAGGAAUAGUUUGUUCAAUGGUUGUGUUGCUGCUUACCACUGCUAGGAAGACUUGUUGAUAAUUAGUGUUGAAAAGGCAUAGCCAAAGUGCAGCAGAAAGGCCAAAGAAGACUAAAACAAGAUCGUUAGCGAAGGCACCAAUAAGAGAAAACAGGCGAAAGAAUGAAAACAAGAGCUAGAGGAAGCAAAGUUGACCCAGAAAGCAAUGAAGCCAGAUACCCUUGGAAGACAGGAAUGAUAAUGCGGUAACUGACAGUAGCAGACCAAAACCAAAAAUUUGUCAUAACCUCAGAAACGCAGCAGAUACGAAAAAAAAAAAACUAGCACCCCAAGCAACAGAGUUGAAUCCACGUAACAAGAUUAGCAUCAGCAGAAAUGUUUGGCCCUCUGAAGAUAUGAUCAAAACUGAUAUCAGCCAAAAAGCAUAUUCAAGCAUAAAUUGAAUCCAUCACCGAUUUUCCUCAGAACCUGGAUUGCCAAAGGAAUAUUUUGUCAACAAAAAUUAUUGUACACACUCUUUUUUGCCCAAAAUGCAUUGCCAAAUACAUAGAAGUCAAAAGUCCUGGACAACAGUACAGCAAAUAUAAAAUGCCCUGGAUUGGAAUGUGGACACCUUUUGGACCCUGUCUCCUGCAAGCCUAUCAUCAUCUCUCCAGCUUUGUUUGUGAAAUGGUCUGAUCUCUUGUGCGAGACUUACGUUUUAAAGUGGGGUAGAACCUAUUGCCCUUGUAGGGUUUGUUCAGAAUUGAUUGUGAAUGAAAGUGGUGGAACUGUGAAGAAAUCAAAGUGUCCAAAUUGUAGCAAAGAGAUAUGAAUGGUAUGCUGGUUAUCGGUGCGAUGAGAUUGAAGGAACAAGAGAUAUGAAUGAUGUUCUCUUGAGGCAGCCUGCAAAAAAUAAGAAGUGGCCAGCUUGUCCUUGUUGUGGUCGCUGUGUUGAGCUUGAUGGAGGCUGUGCUGUCAUGACUUGCAGGUUUGUGAUCCCUCUAAGAUAAAUCGCAGUGCUCCAUAUUUUGUUGCUUUGAUUUAAUUACAUCUCUUUGUUUAUUUGUAAUUAUAGACAAUAAAGUUGACUAAUAUUACCAUAUAUUGAUAAAGAUUUGACAGUAAAAUGUUUCACUUAUUUUUUUCCCGUCUUUUAUUUCUCUUAUGGAACCAAAUGAGAGAGAGAUUUGUAAAAUGAAAUAUUUCACUAUCUUUCACUUAAUUCCUUUUCUUUUUCAUUUAUACAAAAAUCAAUAUUUUAAAAUUCAGACAAUUUUCACUAGAAAUUACAAGCAGAUUGAUCAACCGUGUACUCGUCUGUUGAGAUACUUGUGUCUUCUGAUGAAUCUCAAAAUCCCACCACAAUGAGAUGUGAGAAGUAAACUUAUUUUGUACAGAAGGAAAACAAUUUAGAGCAUGCAUGACGAGCUUUUAUCAAUUUUCUAUCAUAGUGGAACAAGACUCUCAGCCGGUUAUAAUCCCUGUAGGAAAACAGAAGCCAUUCGAACGUGCUGUUUUGUAUUUUUGGUUGCUCCGGCGUAUCCUCCGGCCCCUUCUAGAUCAAGAGACUAAUAUCUUUCAUGGUAUCGUCAAGCACCUUAAAGCAGGUUCCACAACAACCAACAAGGAUUCAAAGCGUGUUCGCCUCAUGAGGAGAACUGGCCUCUUGCCACUAGACGAAACCCGCGUUUGUAAAGAGAUAGACGAUUGAGUUCUCAAACAAUCUCAUUUCACGAGUAUUUAGAAUAGGUUUUGUGCUUUCUAACAUUAUAAAGUAAAAAAUUCCUUUUUUAUAUAUAUAAGACUCGAUAAUGAAAAAUAACACUCUUAUAUCUACAACACUACUUCCAUGAUAUUAUACAAUAAAAUAGAAAGGAAAAUAUUUUAAAUUCACCCUUUUUUUGG